rnacentral:rRNA from 1 species
CCGUAUUAAAGGUGCCGCCUGCCCAGUGAAAAUUCAACGGCCGCGGUAUUCUAACCGUGCAAAGGUAGCGUAAUCAUUUGUCCUCUAAAUAAGGACCUGUAUGAAUGGCUAAAUGCGGGCUCACCUGUCUCCUUUAAUUCAUCAGUGAAACUGAUCUACCAGUACAAAAGCUGGUAUAAACCCAUAAGACGAGAAGACCCUGUGGAGCUUUAAAUUAAGAGUCAACACCCCCAUUCCCGCAACCCGCUCUGACUCCAUAAUUUUCAGUUGGGGCGACUUCGGAACAAAGACCAACUUCCGAGCACAUAGACCUCCAUCUAACAAAGACUAACAAGUCUAAAUAAAAUGACCCAGUAAGACUGACUAACGAACCAAGUUACCCCAGGGAUAACAGCGCAAUCUUCUUCAAGAGUCCAUAUCGACAAGAAGGUUUACGACCUCGAUGUUGGAUCAGGACACCCAAUUGGUGCAGCCGCUAUUAAAGGUUCGUUUGUUCAACGAUUAAUAGUCCUACGUGAUCUGAGUUCARACCGGAGC